rnacentral:rRNA from 1 species
CCUACGGGAGGCAGCAGUGAGGAAUAUUGGUCAAUGGGCUUACGCCUGAACCAGCCAAGUCGCGUGAGGGAAGACUGCCCUAUGGGUUGUAAACCUCUUUUGUCAGGGAGCAAUUGGCGCUACGUGUAGCGUUAUCGAGAGUACCUGAAGAAAAAGCAUCGCCUACUCCGUGCCAGCAGCCGCGGUAAUACGGAGGAUGCGAGCGUUAUCCGGAUUUAUUGGGUUUAAAGGGGGCGUGGGGGGAAUGUCAAGUCAUCGGUAAAAUUUCGGGGCUCAACCUCGCCCUGCCGUUGAAACUGGCGUUCUUGAGUGGGGUAGAGGUAUGCGGAAUGCGUGGUGUAGCGGUGAAAUGCAUAGAUAUCACGAAGAACUCCGAUUGCGAAGGCAGCAUACCGGCGCCCAACUGACGCUGAAGCACGAAAGCGUGGGUAUCGAACAGGAUUAGAUACCCGAGUAGUC